rnacentral:misc_RNA from 1 species
GUAGGUGAACCUGCGGAAGGAUCAUUAUUGAAUAAACUUGAUCAGGUUGUUGCUGGCUCCCCUGAGCAUGUGCACACUUGUCAUCUUUACUUUUCCCCCAAUGUGCACAUAUUGUAGGCCUGGAACUCUUUUGAUUAUCUCGUAUAGAUUGAGGACUGCUGUGCUUCAGCCAGCUUUUCCUUGUGUUUUCAGGUCUAUGUUUACCUUCACAACCUCUGAAUAUGUUUAGAAUGUUGGAAUAUAAUAUAUAUAUACAACUUUCAGCAACGGAUCUCUUGGCUCUC